CUCGAUUUAAUCAACCUCUCUCGCGAAUUCAUACCCGUGUUGAAAUAUUGGUUUCCAAUAAAUGUUGGGUCUGAAUUCUCAGUCGACCAGCGUCUGUUUUACCCGAACACAUUUAAGGCUAACUUUGUUAAUUGCUGCGACAUCUAGCAAGGAAUUACUUAAAUGCAGAGAUAGAAGGAAUUCUACGAUCACCUCUAAGAAUCGCCCUUCAUACGAUAAAGAUGAAGAAAUUUCAUGCUUCAAAGAAAUACAAUAGUGUUAUUCCACUGGCGAUGGAUUGGCCUCAUGUACCUACUGCCAUGAGGUCACUAAAUAAGUGGAUAGUACUUUCCGUAAUGUUGUGUAUCCUUCACGUUGCAGAUGCUGAGACGUCGAGCGAUUCAACAACCGCCACGCCGUUCAUAAAGACUCCGAUGUUUAUCGGACUGACGGCCGGGGUCGGAGGCUUUAUAGCGUUCAUUAUUCUAUGUUGUGUCGUCUGGAAGUGCUUCUGUGGCGGCCAGACGGACAGGCAAAGACGGAAGUGACAUCAUAGUCAGAACAAAGUUGGUGUGACGCAAAAUAUGUGAUAUAGAUCUUAUCCUAUACUCUGUCCUUUCUUAUAUGGGUUUAGGGAGUACUGAGUGACUUUUCAUUAUUUGAGUGAAUACACUUGAUACACUUACUGUUGCCGUCUUAUGUAAUUCAAGUUAUUUACUGUAAAUGAACGUUGGAAUUUUAAUACAACAUAAAAGACAAUUUUGUUAUUGUGACUUGAGUAUCAUGGAUGUAAUGGUUAAGACCAGCCUUUUGUAUAUCAAUUCGUGGAACGUACGAGUGGUCUUUCUGUUGUUUUUUAUUACAAAUAUCAAUUUCAUUUCAUGUUAUAUCAACCACGUGUACACGUUUAAAACAUCGUCCGUUUACAUAAUGAAUCACUUAGUAACCGGAUAUGUAUAGACGCUUAUUUUGGCCUCGCUUUUUAAAUACCUCCAAAAGCAGACAAAGUAAUUUGUAACUUCAUUGUAAAUCCGGAUAUAGAUUAUUAAAUAACAGAGUAUGUCGUUUUUGAUAUUAGGGCAGUAGUUAAGUUUAUAAUAACAAUUUAUAUGAAUAUGCAGCACAUGUUAUUUAAUGAUAAACAUAUGAACCAUAAGGCGUACUUUAAAAUCGGUUUAAAACACGGUGCAUUUCAUAGAAAGUUAAUAAUAAAACCCGAAUCACGUCUCUUAAAAUUUUGUUUUAUGUAAUUUAAGUUACGUUAUCAUCUAUAUAGUUAUUUAAAUGUAUUUUUAUUUAUUUUAUUUUGAAUGCUAUUUUUGAUAAAAAAAAAUAUGUAACCGAAUUUUAAUUCAUUAGUGUUUUAAAUUGCUUUAUUAUGUAUCCGUUUAAAAUGCUUAUUCAAGCCUGAAUGUAAUGUUUUGUUUUCUUCGUUUGCAGUUUGUGAUAAUGUUUGUUAAUGGUUGCUUUUGUUAAUAUGAAGAAUAGCGAUGUGUAAGGUAGGCUAUCAGGGUCUUGGUCAUGGUGUCAUUGUUUUCAAUGAUUACUCUACUUGUAAUUAAUAACUUUCAGUAAAGCGUGACGAUAUAAGAGGAAUAAAUAAAACACAAAAAUUUAACCGUACGGUUUGUAUGAUCCAUGCCGUUUGACAUAGUGAAAUGAUGUGAAUUUCGCGUUUGUUUCAGUACUGAAGAGAGAUUUGGUUUCAUGUUGUUAACAUUUUAUUAAUUAAAAACCAACGGUUGGUCCCUUGGCGUUGUAUCUGUAAGCUUCCGUGAUAUAUUAUGUACUCAAUGUAUUUUCGAGAAUGUAUGAAUCAUUGUUAUAUUAUGUAUACUUUAUUACUCUGUAUUGUUACAAAUGCUAUUAUAUGUUAAUAAAUAUGUGUCGCUU